rnacentral:rRNA from 1 species
CACCUGACCCCAUGCCGAACUCAGAAGUGAAACGCCGUAGCGCCGAUGGUAGUGUGGGGUCUCCCCAUGUGAGAGUAGGGAACUGCCAGGU